CCCGGCCGCGCGGGCUCGGCCGCUCCGAACCGUCUGGCGGACUUGGCACGGGCCCCGCUCCCGGGCCCCCGCGGCGCGUGGCAGGCUGCGGCUUCAUUAUCCUGAUUGAUUCCUCCUGCUCCCGACACCGUGGGGCCCGGGCCGAGGAGGGCGGGGCGGGAUCUGCGGGCCGCUUCCCGGGCGCCCGGUGGACGUGCGGGGCCGGGGUGCAGAAGGAGCGCGGGGUGGACGGAGAACUGAGGCGGCGGGCGCCGGGCAGGCGGGAAAAGGUGACAUCGCGAGGAACGACGGUCACGGCCGGGCAGGGCCACGCCAGCCUCGUCCCCUUCGGGUUGAGAUCUCGGGUUUGUCAGCGGUUCCCUGGGAGAACAGGUGAUGUGUGGACCUCAGGACUCUACCGAAGUUCUCUGGCCAGGAGCAGAAGGGGAGCUGAGGGGCUGCCCUCAUCCCUGUGCUCUUCUGGGGGCUCCCGGAGGGAGCCAGAUGUGCACAGCAGCCUCUCCGGGAUGAGGAUGUUUACUGCAGCGCAACCUCUCAGGUUCUAGAACCUUCCACAGUGUCACCAUGUCUCCAGUGUCUCCCCUCCUUUCCAAAUACGGCACUCUUGCCCUGGAGUUUUCAGCCAGAAGCAAAUUACUUCCUAUGGAAAAGACAGAUCCUAGAAUGAAACUUCCCAGUUUGGGAAGAGAGAUGCCAGGGAGUGGUGUUUCCCUGCAGGAAGCAGAGGCAGGUCAGUGCAUGGACAGGGCCGGGCCAGGCCGCACAGACUCUUGGCCAAUGUGGCCCUGUGUACAGCUCCCUCAGUCUCCCCACCGGCCACGCCCAGCCGGCUGCCCUGUCCUCAGCCCCUCAGCGCCACUUCCUAUUAAUACAAGCCGCGUGGGCCCCUCGCUGUGGUGUCUCCAGGCAGAAAAGGAAGCCACAGCCGCCUAGUGGCUGCCAAGGAGGCCGGCAGGAAGGGGCAUCUCCACCAGGCGUCUCCUGGGAAACAGCGAGCUCCCCAGAGAAGGGACAUUUGGAAACAAAACUCCUGCCUGUGUUGUGUGCUUCACGUGUGUUGGGUGGGAGAGGCGCUGAGAAGCCUCCUCGGCCCCCCAACUCCUGUCUCCUCAGGGAAGCCUUCUCAGCGCCUCUCCUCACUCCCUCCCCACUUGGGCUCUGCUGGGACUGGAAAGUGGCCCAGAAAGUGGCCUUCAGUUUAGGGUGCAGCUGGAAGGGGAGAGCCCUGGGCCCAGAGUCUGAGGCCCCACUUCGGGCUUCUCUGCCUCCCCUGUCACCCCCCCCUGCCUAUUGCACCCCCUUUCCCAGUCCUCGGUUGUUCCUUUGCAAAGUGAGGGUGCGGAUGAGAUCACCCCAUCGCUCCCCACCCUCCCGGGGGUCCUCCACAGGCCACGCCUUCCCACCCUUGGGAUGGACGCCCCACAGGAGCUCAGGGCUCCUUGUGUGACCUGACUGGUGGCCCAGCCUGGGCUGGCUUGGCCCUCGCGCCUGGUGCGCCUGGGUAUUUGAGGGUCCAUGGAGAACUGCAGAGGCUUUGGGGGUCUCCAGGCCCCAGGCCUGAGGCUCUCUCUUGCUGUCCUGCACCAGGGGCCACUGCCUGCCACAUCUCCUCAGUGGCGACCCCUUCUCAAAGGACCCUCUUCAUAGUGUCCUGAGCCACGCUCAGGGAGCAGCACCAAACCACCUGGGAAACGGGAGUGGGUGACAGCCCUGUGCCCCUAACUCACCCGCGCCCUUUGCCAUCCUUUGCUCUUGAGGGACCGAGCCCCAUCCACGCUCAGCAAGCCCGACCUCCCCAGUAAAGUGCAAAUGGCAAGGGGAUGAGCAGUAAAAAGAAUAGAGAUGUGGGGCUGGGGUGUAGCUCAGUGGCGCCCGCACCUGCUCGGCAGGCGCAAGGUCCUGAGUUCAAACCCAGGUGCCAGAAAAGAUAAUAAUAAUAGAGAUGUGUUCUGUGCAUGUACCAACUCCUCACAAGGAAUGUAAUCGUGGUGUACUGCAGGCAUGGAAUAAUAAAUUUUUUAAUGAGAUACUAAAAAUAGGGGUUGGGGGACUUUGGACUCCCCAGACGGAGUCAGAGAUGCCCAAGUGCAAGCCCUCUCCCUGAUCUUACCACCUAGAGACCCCUUCCGCAGGAGUCCCCCCCCUUGUGGGCAGGGCAGAGGUUGAUUGAGAGCUCCCCAUGCAGAAACAGCCGCCGCUCUGAGGAAGCCCUGGCCACAGGGGUGGGGAAUGGGAGGCAGAAGCGCGUGGGGAGGGUACAGAUCCCAACUCUCCUUGUCACCUUUGUCCUGGGGGCCUACCGUGCAUUGUGCCGGGCGUGGGCUCUGUCCACUUUGACCUAGACUAUGGCGCUCUGUCCCCACCCCAGGC
rnacentral:lncRNA from 1 species